AGUGAACGCUGGCGGUAGGCCUAACACAUGCAAGUCGAACGGCAGCACAGUAAGAGCUUGCUCUUACGGGUGGCGAGUGGCGGACGGGUGAGGAAUACAUCGGAAUCUACUUUUUCGUGGGGGAUAACGUAGGGAAACUUACGCUAAUACCGCAUACGACCUACGGGUGAAAGCAGGGGAUCUUCGGACCUUGCGCGAUUGAAUGAGCCGAUGUCGGAUUAGCUAGUUGGCGGGGUAAAGGCCCACCAAGGCGACGAUCCGUAGCUGGUCUGAGAGGAUGAUCAGCCACACUGGAACUGAGACACGGUCCAGACCCCUACGGGAGGCAGCAGUGGGGAAUAUUGGACAAUGGGCGCAAGCCUGAUCCAGCCAUACCGCGUGGGUGAAGGAGGCCUUCGGGUUGUAAAGCCCUUUUGUUGGGAAAGAAAAGCAGCAGGUUAAUACCCCGCUGUUCUGACGGUACCCAAAGAAUAAGCACCGGCUAACUUCGUG
rnacentral:rRNA from 1 species